GUCUCUUCGGAGACAUCCGAUAAAAUUAGAACAAGAUUAGCAUGGCCCCUGCGUAAGGAUGCCAUGCACAGAUCGAGAAAUGGUCUAAAUUUUU
rnacentral:snRNA from 1 species